UACCUGCAGCUCAAGUGGUAACCGCUAUUAUUGGGCCUAAAGCGUCCGUAGCCGGUUUAGUAAAUAUCUGGGUAAAUCGUGAGGCUUAACUUCACGAAUUUCGGAUAGACUACUAGACUUGGGACCGGGGGAGGUCAGAGGUACUCCAGGGGUAGCGGUGAAAUGUUGUAAUCCUUGGAGGACCACCGGUAGCGAAGGCGUCUGACUAGAACGGAUCCGACGGUGAGGGACGAAGCCCUGGGGCGCAAACCGGAUUAGAUACCCCUGUA
rnacentral:rRNA from 1 species